rnacentral:rRNA from 1 species
UGCCCUUAUGAUCGGGAUAACAGUUGGAAACGGCUGCUAAUACCGGAUACGCUCAAAAUGAACUUUUUGAGGAAAGAUGGCCUCUGCUUGCAUGCUAUCACGUAAGGAUGAGUCCGCGUCCCAUUAGCUUGUUGGCGGGGUAACGGCCACCAAGGCAACGAUGGGUAGCCGAUUUGAGAGGAUGAUCGGCCACACUGGAACUGAAACACGGUCCAGACUCCUACGGGAGGCAGCAGUGGGGAAUAUUGCGCAAUGGGCGAAAGCCUGACGCAGCGACGCCGCGUGAGGGAUGAAAACGGUUUUCGGAUCGUAAACCUCUGUCAGAAGGGAAGAAACUACGUUGUGCUAAUCAGCAGCGUACUGACGGUACCUUCAAAGGAAGCACCGGCUAACUCCGUGCCAGCAGCAGC